UUGUCCCUUGGCUGAGGUUCAGACCCUGCUGCUUUCAGCCAGACGGGGCAACAAAAAGGAGCUUCAGAGGGAAGAACAACAGUCACUUUAUGCAGGAUUCCUCCCAGGCUGUUCAAGCCUCUCCCCAUGUCCCCUGAUCUGAAAUGUUUUUGCUUUCUUUGCUCUGUAGGAUUCCAGCUGACAGCUCAGAGAAAAUGGAAGGAAAUUCAGCGACGCUGUGGAUGACGUGGCUGCAGAACCCCCUGACGGCGGAGGGUCCCGGAGAGCUGUGUGUCCAGAAGGCGCGAUAUCCUUUGUUUAAGCCUCUGCAGCCUCCUCCCCAGCAGGCCGUCUGUGCGGGAAGCAAUCGCGUUUCCUAACUCGCACGCAGCCCAGAAAUCGAAGCACGGUUUGGCCUCUUCGUCAUUUUCAAAAAUCAAACCUGCCUAGGGACCAAGUUUCAGCAGCAGCUGUUUCUGCUUUAUGUUUUAUGUAAAGACAUUUAAUUGUGAGCCUUGUGUGCUCCCAUUUUUUUUUUUUUGUAGAGCAGACCAUGUGCCUGUAUAAAAUAACCACUGAUGUAUGGACAGGGGUGUUUCCAUUUGCAGUCAGUGUUUUUCAGGAUAAAGUCAGAUUAACU